AGAGUUUGAUCCUGGCUCAGGAUGAACGCUAGCUACAGGCUUAACACAUGCAAGUCGAGGGGAAACGACAUCGAAAGCUUGCUUUUGAUGGGCGUCGACCGGCGCACGGGUGAGUAACGCGUAUCCAACCUGCCCACCACUUGGGGAUAACCUUGCGAAAGUAAGACUAAUACCCAAUGAUAUCUCUAGAAGACAUCUGAAAGAGAUUAAAGAUUUAUCGGUGAUGGAUGGGGAUGCGUCUGAUUAGCUUGUUGGCGGGGUAACGGCCCACCAAGGCGACGAUCAGUAGGGGUUCUGAGAGGAAGGUCCCCCACAUUGGAACUGAGACACGGUCCAAACUCCUACGGGAGGCAGCAGUGAGGAAUAUUGGUCAAUGGGCGAGAGCCUGAACCUGCCAAGUAGCGUGCAGGAUGACGGCCCUAUGGGUUGUAAACUGCUUUUAUAAGGGAAUAAAGUUAGUCUCGUGAGACUUUUUGCAUGUACCUUAUGAAUAAGGACCGGCUAAUUCCGUGCCAGCAGCCGCGGUAAUACGGAAGGUCCGGGCGUUAUCCGGAUUUAUUGGGUUUAAAGGGAGCGUAGGCCGGAGAUUAAGCGUGUUGUGAAAUGUAGACGCUCAACGUCUGCACUGCAGCGCGAACUGGUUUCCUUGAGUACGCACAAAGUGGGCGGAAUUCGUG
rnacentral:rRNA from 1 species